CCCUUAGAUGUUCUGGGCCACACGCGUGCUACACUGAGUAAAUCAAUGGGUAAGGGAACACGAAAGUGCAACCUAAUCUUCAAAUUUGCUCGUGAUGGGGAUCGACGGUUGCAAUUUUCCGUCGUGAACGAGGAAUACCUUGUAGGCGCGUGUCAUCAUCACGCGCCGAAUACGUCCCUGCCCUUUGUACACACCGCCCGUCGCUCCUACCGAUUGAGUGAUCCGGUGAGGCUCUGGGACCUGGACGGAAAGAGCGUUUCGCUUGUUCUGUUUGGGAAACUUGGUCGAACCUUAUCAUUUAGAGGAAGGAGAAGUCGUAACA
rnacentral:rRNA from 1 species